rnacentral:tmRNA from 1 species
GGGGGCGUAAAGGCUUCGACGGAGAUCAUAAGCCUUAGUAAGCGAGUAGCGGCGUGGACACGCUUUAAAAUCCACAUUUUUAAAAAUUAAACAACAACGAUAAUUUUGCAUACGCAGCCUAAUUAGGCUGCCGUUCUUACUAGAUAAACCGCGAUCUAGAUAAGAACGUCGAUUAGCGGUGAACGUGAAUUAGAGAUUUCUUCGGCUUUAAUCAUGAAUUAGGAGAUACUGAAGUGCUUAGCCUGUCAUUUGGCGAAACAUGGAGGGAAUUUUAAAUAAAUGACUACACUCGUAGAAAGCUUUGGUAAGUGAUUUUCGGACAGGGGUUCGAUUCCCCUCGCCUCCACCA